ensembl:lncRNA
AUAUACGGUCUACUCGCCUACUACGGCCUCCUAGUUACCAAAAUCCAGGAUCUGAGCUGUUACCAGCUAUUACUGAGCUGGAUCUCAGUAAUAGUCCUUAAUGUGGAUCUUUACAGUAAAUUCCCCUCCCCCAUGUAUAUAUUCACCACAACACUGCUGUCACGGAUUCAUGCAACCAGCAAUGAGCAGCAGCAGCAGCCAGCUGCAUUUUAAGGAGUGACAAGUGCAGCAGCUUUGUGUUUAGAUAAAGUGCAAGACAGAAAAUAAAUAUGCAAGAUAAUUAAGGCCCUUACUUGCAGACGUAGUAUAAUGUGACCUUUGAAUAGUAACCUUCCGACACGAAAACAGGUCCAACACAUGAAUUAGGACAACGAUUUUGUUUGUUGCCAGUGUCUGAGGAUGGAUGUUCUAAACUGUGUAUAUACGGGUGGAUUCAGUAACCGUCCAUGUUUCCUUCUGCAUCAUUGAGAUGUGACAGAAAUCCUUUUGAAACUAAAAUACAGACGGCAGAACUGCAGAGAAAAGUGAUUUACUCCCACACAUGUGGCACCCUGCUGUUUGUUCAAGUCAGACUUUUUUGUGUUAAGAAUGUCGUGUUUAGGCUUUUUUUGUGUUAUUUUGUAAAGAAGCAAUGUGGAUCUUAGCUUUAUGUGUGCAGAAGCAUCGCUAAUAUAUAGCUUUGUUGUGCGAGGAUAAAGAGAACCCCCCCACACUCCGCAGCAGAAAGACUAACCCUUGGCUGGUUGGUUGGAGGCUAUAUUUGUGCGGCAGCUCUCCUUUUGAAGUUUUCCUCAGACUAUCCCACUGAGGGAUGAAGGGAUGAGUCAUGCCACAUGCAGACAUGCAGACUGGGAGGCAACCGAAGCACCGGCCUCGUAUGUAGAGAUGAGAGCUGAUGAGCUGAUGUCCCUGAUUGUUGUUCCUUUUUAAAAGGAGAAGUCCAGUGUUUUUUCAUGAUUCACAGCUUUUGCCAGGAGUGAUUCUUUAUUAUUAUGCUUCUAAUUAUUACCAUGAUGCAGUGUUGAGAAAAAAUGUCAAGGCGUUGAUAAGUGAAGAAUAAGUACCCUGUCAUUUCAGAUUUUACAUAGUUAUUUUGUUGCCUUUUUGUCAAACAUCAAACAUUGCUCUUUGAAGUUUUGCAAUAAUUCUUUUGUGACCCUCCAAAAUAUUUUAAUUUAAACCAGUACUCCCAUUAGAACUAUUAUAAUUCCAUAUUUGUGGGAUAGGCGCCUCUGUUUUCUGUGAAUUGGCCAGAGUGGGUGAUGGCGUGUCAUCGCAUUACAUCAUAGGAGACUUUCCCAUCAAAGCAUGUGAUGAUAAAUUGGAGUUAUGAACUUCUGUCAUCACAGGGUUUGUCUGUAUCAUACAAAUAUUCCAUGAAGUAGAAAUUCAACAUAAGUUCCUACUUUUCAAGGACUGCUCAGUUUUCUUCAAGUAUUGCACAGAAUUUUGUGUGCAAAUACGGGAGGCGCUGCUAGCUUUUGGCCGGUUGUGAUUGAUUUACAGGGAGGUUGAAGUCACGUCUCAGAAAUGUUUUCCUCUGAGAAUGUGUGAUGAAGCUCCGGACCCCUGAAAAGUGAAAAUGGGUCUUUUAAAAAAAAUGUUGAGAACUGGCAAGAAAAGAUUGAAAUGUUACGCCGUGGCAUUUUAAGGCCAGAGUUGUGAAUGCGAUCUAUCCGAUUCCCGUCAUUGUGGCGGGAUUACUUCCAGUUCAGACUCUCAAACCAUAACAAAGGGAAACAACUGAUUUUCAAUAUCAAGUUCAGUCGUAAGUCAGGGUCCUGACAGAAACGUUUAGAACAUUCUGACGGAGCAGAAUUAAGUUUGUUGACCUUCCUCUGCCACUGUAGUUUUACAUGAGGUUUUUCUGACAGCGGUAGCGCAUGUUGGUGCUCCCAUUUUAAUAGAGCGGUCUGCGUUAUUGAAUCCAGGUUACGGCUGUGCAGUUUCUCCCUGCCCCACAUUUGCGUCCGUUUAAAGAAUCAAUCCUCCGGCAGGCAGGUUGGAAGAAACAUGAACCUGCCCGAGUGGUAUUUGUGACUGUCAAACAUCCACGCUGUGCAGUCCUGAGGUUUUCAAAAGAGGAAAAUCACCCGAUCCAAAUGCCCCUUCCUCAAAUGGCCUUUAUUAGUCCGCGGGAGAAAUUGAAAGCACAUGGCGGCCUAUAAAUGUGAAUUCAAACCGACCACAGAGACACUUGGAUUGAUAGAAGAAGGGGGAGGAUUGCAUAUAAUUUUGGCCAUUAAAACCUCAGGACAAAUUAUGGUUGUUAAUCUGUUAUUUUGCCCUCCGCCUCAAUGUUCUCUCCUUUAAAUGCAACGUACGCUAUGAAAGCCCUGUCAGAGUUGGAUUACUGUUGCCAGAGUGGCAGUAAUGGAGCGUAUUCAGCGUUGUGCACACACCAAAUCACAGAGGGAACGCUCGAUCCUGCAGCUGACAACCAAGUCAGCCUGCGAUCCAAAUGGAGCAUUUCUUUGAUUCCCUUUACCUCCCGAGUCUCUUAUCUCCUUGCUGCUUCUCGAGCUCUCCCGGUUUUUAUUUUGGCAUUUUAAAAUAGGUCAGAAUGCACUGUGUGUGUGUGUGUGUGUGUGUGUGUGUGUGUUGGCUGUUGGCCGUGAUUCGCUGCCUCAUGCCGUCGGGCAGCGAUGGAAACAGGAGCAGUGAUGUUGGAUAAACUGUGAAAUGUUGAGUCACCCUACAGAUGAUGCCGAAUGUUUACUUCAGUGUUGCUCUGUCAUUCAGCAAAUAUCAUUGUAUGUAUUAUCAAUAUAGCCAAUUUAAAUUGUUGUUUUCUCUCCCAACCAAUCCCUUAACAUUAACAUUAAUAAUAACUACAGUCGAAUUUCUGAAGUAUUGAAAGUGGGUUUUUAUUUGUAAAACAAAUCCUCCAAGUAAAACUGCUGAAUAUGCUGUUUGUCCAAACCCUCUAGAGAAUCAAACCUAAUCUGGUCUGGAACCCCCGUAAGCAAGACCUGGAGGGAAAUGUCAAGAUUUGGGUAGAAACAGGAACUUUUUAUGGGAAGGAUGAGUUUCUCACAUUAUAACCAGUUGGUAAAGAACAACUGUGGUCCAACAUGUGUCGACUCGUGGGUUUUAGGCUGCCAGUGAACAGCAGUCUCAUGUUAAAGUCUGUUUGGUCGGAUAGACGCUAAACAGCCGCUAAGCUGCGACCGGUGUGUUGUUCGCAGUGGCCAGCUGAUUGCUGGCGGUACUUGGGAUCCGGGCACUGGUUGGGUGCGUUGUUGUUAAAAACGACUGUCUGCGACCUAGUUUUUACAAAUAUGUGUAUGGGAUAAACGGUAAUGGCAAAAUAAGCAGAUACAAUAAUUAUACCACAACCUGAACUUGUUUCCACUGAAGCUACCUGGGCUUCAACACAAACAAGCAGUGAAAAAACCAACAACAUGUAUUUGCUUUUAGGAGAUAAAAAGAUGAGAUGCAUUGUGUUAUGUAAAAUACUUCCUCAUUGUUCAAUGUGCAAAUAAAUAAAAAAAACUGUCAUCUAAGUAACCCGUUGAACAUAAAUGGUGGAUGGACAGAUGCGUUUGAGGUCAAAUGGAGUUCUGGGAAGCCACAGACUUUAUUAUAGGGCAGCGAUGUCAUGUGACGUGUGCUGAGGCAGUCGAGGGGGAAAGGAAACCAACAACUGGCUCAGGCUGGAUUGGAAACACAAUGCAAUAAGAAUCGGAAUGAGUUUUCCUCCUUGUCGUUCAUAAAAGAAAUGUCUUAAGCAGAGAAGAGGCUUUAGGAGAGAUAGCAGAACAGGAAAUGGAUGCUGUGCAGCUUUGUACAAACAAUCGUUUUUUUAGAGUCUUUAUUUCAGGAAACACCGUCCAUGCCCGAUCUGGCUCAGCAAUAUUGAAUUAUGAUACACGAUUCCCCCUUUCUGUUUGUCUCUAAUGACCCACUAAGAAUAGAUACUGAAGCCAGGUUGUCUGUCUGCGCACAACUCAACUACACUACAAAAAGAAAUGCAGUUCAAAAGACUUUCUUUUAGGUGGUCAAUGAAAUAGAAUGUGCCUUAAUCAUAUAUCUAUAUCUAUAUCUAUAGAUAUAGAUAUAUAUAUAUAGUGAUAGUUUGAAUAUCAUUGUUGUUGUUGUUUUUUUCCUAAAAGCUUUACUAAAAUAUAAAAAUUGAAACUCCAUCACUGUUGUUGCACUGGCUUACCAGCCCCACAGAAUCCCUUCACCUACUUUCCCUUAAUCUAGUAAUUCCGGGUGGUCGAUGUUUGUCACAUGACUGUCAACAAGGAACCACAUCGGGUAGUGGAAGUGGAAAUGUUCGGGGAGUAAAACAAAGUACCCAGGACAUGCGGGUGGUUCAGUGUGUCUCGGUCCUUCCUCUGACGAGAUGAUCGGGAAGCCGAUUUUUUGUGCGCUGAAUGAACUUUUUGCAGUGCAUCCGGGCGGAUGAGCCGACGUGCGCUAAUGCACGUGCUGACAGCACAGGGGUCAGUUUCCACCGCAGCAGCACUCAGACUGCAGAUCGAUACUGAGCAGCUCAGCUUUCAGGUCACCCAACCAGCAGAUCUGCUGCUGCUCAAAUUAGCCCACAGGACAAAAACACACACACACUCACUCAUUCACAUGUUCUCAAUGGCCAGUUGCAGGUCAAUUGCCUUUCUUAAUCACAUUUGCACAAAAAAAUCUUUGGCAUGUGCACGAGCAGACACGAGCGCACAUUCAGAGUCCUUCUUCCGCACGUUGUCGUCAAUACCAUGUAAAACCAGCAAUAACCUUCACUGCAGAGGUACUGUAUCGAUGCAUUCAUUUGUCAGAUGAGACUGGAUGUAAGAGCUGGGAUUGAUGUCACACAUUGCAGCCAUCAAUUAACUACAAACCUCCAAAAAGCUCUCAGAAGUAAAUCUGCCCAAGCUGACAUUCAUUUCAGCACAAUAAUUGAAUUUCACGCUGCCGCCGGAGACUCCAGGCAGAGUCAGACAAAACGGUUGAAACUUUACACUAUAAAAAAUCUCGAGCAUUUACAUCCUCGGCACAUUUCCGCUGCUGUAAACAAAGAGGGUUUGGGGGUGUCGGUUUUUGGAUUCACCAGGAUGGAGAGAGGCAGAGCCAACAACAGCGGUCUAUAAUACUUUCUAUGGGCCCGUCUAACCGGUUAAUACAGACACUUUAUCUUUUAGGUGAAACAUUUUUAAACCCAAGUUCACACAGCGAUUAGGGAAGAAUAAAAUAGUGGAUUUUCACCCCAAUCGUCUUUACUUUACCACACAACAUCCACAUAAAGAUGUCAUCACGGGGGGGCUCCAGCAUCUGUAAAACACUCUUUCGGAGAGGCGGACUGCUGACCUCAGAGCGGCUGCACAGUACCGCACUAGCGUCACCAUCUGGAGAGAUGCAACUCAAACUCUGCAGCGCCGUCUGUAGCUUGAGCCCGACUUUGUUAAUUGAUCCCAGGCACAUGCAAUAAAUCCGUGCUCCUCUCUAGCGGGUCAGAGAAUACACAUUGACUUGAUCACGGCGUCGGUCACGGAGGAUAAUUGUUCAGUUUAAGCGUACAGUAAUCGGCUCCCUGCGGUAAUACAGCGCUCCGACUGUUAACGUCAGCCACUGGCUGGAAACACCUGACAGACUUUAUAUCUGUGUUUCAUUUCUGACAAACCUUUAUUCAUCACGUAUGUUUGGUGUGGGACAGACUUCCCGCGGCAGCAAAUCAUCUUCCGCUCCUCGACACGAUUUGUGUUUUGUCCGAGAUCCGGACGUGUGCGCUUAUGAAUCCUCUGAUUGACACAUUACAGAAUGUUUCCUCCUUUUGGAUUGCAGUAAGUUCCGCAGCACCAUUGUGUGUUUUUCUUUCAUUCAGAAGGUAUUUAUGGAUUAUGUUUCAUCAUUUCUCUUUUCCCGGAGCCGCUACAAACAAAAGGGUAAAAAAAAGUGUUUUUAUGAAUCAGGCUUCUGCUUGUUGGCAGAACAGCACAGUCCACAACACAAAGUGUCAAAUAAUAAGAGAGCGUUUGAGAUGCUGGAAAUGGUGUGAAAGGUCAAACACUCAUCUAAUCGGACUCGGUCUGAUGUAAUUGCAUUUACAAUUGUGCUUGAAUCUGAGUUUUAUGUCCGAUCGACUCUAAACGUCCAUGUAAAUGAUCAGACUAUCAAUCGAGAGCUUGUCUUUGCUUUUGUAAAUCUGGGUACCUGAGGCUCAGGCUCAGUUCAACAUACAUAACAUUACAUAACAUGACAUAACAUAAUGUCCAUCCGAGUAUCUCCCCCCGCAGCCGUGCAAAGGUGCAUCAUAUUGUCUCGCAAGCCAAUCACAUUUGACUGAGCUUUUUUUAAGUUAAAGAGCUUAGAGAGAAAGACGCUUAAUCAGAACGCCUCAGAUAUGGGGUGAGUUCAGAUAUAUUCAGGGAUAGUAUGAGAUGGGUUUUGUUUUUAAUGCAAACAUUUUUUUAAUGUUUUCAUCUUUAAAAAAGUUGAUGUUCAUUAUAUUUUCACCAGCAAAAAGUGAAAAAAUGUUUCCAUAAAUGGAUCAAAACACCCCUUUUACAAAGGAUGAGAAACACACAUUGCUCAUUUCUGCGUGCGUUCAGUGCCAGUAGACAGUUUUUGAUACCCAUCGUGAUCACAAAAUAACCUGCAUGUGUGUGUCAAUUUACUUCAUCAAUGCGUCCUGUAAUGUCCUGCACUUUAAGUUGAUUUGUUUUCAGAGGAUCACAUCAAAAUCAAAUCAAAAUUGAGUUUUUUGGCAAGUUCGGAAUGUUCUCCCAAAGGCCGAGAUGACUGUAAAUGAACCAACCAGGAAGGCAAUUAGGCCGUCGUGCCCCAAACAUGCGCCUGUGUUGCAUUUCUAUCAAACCCACCUAUUCUUUUAAGAGGGGGAAAUUGAAUUUACAUUUGUACAAGGUUCCUUUUGUGUCUUUUUGGUCCGUCUGCCUGGAUUGUUAGGUGUGUUUUCCGUCAGCAGGCUGGUUGUUGAAGCUCAUUACUGACGGACUGACUGAUGGUCUCUAUUUGUUUGGUUUGGUAGAGUCUGCCUGUGGCCUGGUAAUGGCCAGAUCUGAGUGUAAUCAAAGCCGUCUCUUCAUCUACUCUUGUUCUCCUUUUCUCGCGCAGAGAUAUUCUGCAGACAGAUAUUCUCGCUUCCCCCUUCUUCUUUCCCUCCUUUGAAACCUCUUUCUCCUUUUCCCUGUUGGGAUAACGUCGGCAGAAUGUGAACGGGUGACACAUGCAGAGCAGACCUCCCCUCCUCUCCUUGAGCACCAGAGAACAUUCCCCCACUUGCCAGAAAAUAGGAAGAAAAAUUCUGUUUAGAAAAAACCCCACAUUUUUAACUUGGAACUGAUCUACAUGCACGCAUGUGUCAUCGUUUAUUUCCAAUGUCGGGUUCCUGGAAUCAGACUGGGGUGUUGAAAGUUUUUCUGCUGUUCUUUGGGGACAGGUGCUUUUGGGUAAAACUUGAUGACUUAUCAGUGAUUGAGGAUCCUUUUCAAAUGGAAUAAUUGCAAGCAGAGGGGGCAAAGGAAGACCAGGAGCCGUCAGAAAAGCUACCGAUUUUCUUCAGCCCCUCGCUAUUGAAAUCUUCCCUCCUAUUUUAUUUCCUCCAUUUGCCCUUUUAACACUUCCAUUUGUUCUCGUAGUUACAUUCACUCUCUGUAACUUUCUUUCCGUGGUCAUUUUGCAGGCCCCCGUCACAUGUGUUCAAUCCUGAUUGGCCUUGUUUUCCCAUCCAAAAAGUAUCGUGUGGAUCAAGUAUUAAUAUAUAUCUUUCCUACUAUUGUCACAGAUUCUCACUAGAACAACAAAUGUGAUUUAGUCCAUGACUGAAAAUAUGCACGUUUCCUCCUUUGAUUAAAAACUACAGCGACAAGCUGUUUUAGGAAGACAGAUUCUUUUUUUCAUUUGAUACCAAUUAUUUGUUUAAAAGAUGCAUGUCUUACAUCCAGCACAUCUCCAACUGGUAAUGUUUGCAGCACUCCCCUUGUCUUACUGACGGUAUGUAGUGACCUAAUGAUGUUUUCCAGCAAACCAACAAAAUCCACCUCUUGUUUUCUGGAGCUCAAAUCUCCUGAGUCUGGGAAAUGCCAGUAAUCAUUGUUGGUGGAUUUGCUCUCUCUCCUGUACAAAUAUCUUCACUUGCUGAUGAAACAUUAUAAAUGAGCCAUCAAACUCUGCACCCAAUGCCCAUUGCCUUCACUCCUGCAGGGACCGGCUGACAGGAGCUGGACUAUUAAGUGUCCGGCAAAAACCCAGCCUCAGUCCAAUACUCUCUGACCGUGAGCCUGAUCCUCCAAUUGAACUUCUCCAAACGGAACAUGUUUCCACACUGUAUGAAAUGCAUCUUAUAAAAAAAAAAACAUGAUAGUAAAAAUAUUUUAUAAUCCUGUAUAAUAACUGGACCGGGUGCUCUUUGGGCCCCGUGGAGGCUGAAUAAGAACGAAAAAGGGCCCCGCAUCCAACAUUCAAUCCAAUCCCCAUCAAAUGGGUAACCAGCGCUUGGUGUUCACCAUCUUUCCCAAACAUUAACCAAGUGAUUUUGUUGCCCGCCCCUCACGCCUCUACCUUCUAUGCAUUUGGUACUGCAUUGACAGGGAGCCUAAGACAGAACGUUUUGGUGAUAAGUUAAAAAGUUCUACAAAACUGUUGUUGAACAGAAAGAAACACACAAACGAAAGUUGAAGAAAGGCAGUGAAGAAAAUGAGGGAAGGGAGGGGGUAUUGGGGGAUUUCAAAUCUGUGGAAAGUCGUUCUUUCUGGAGAUAGCCUGUUCCUGCCGGGCACAGCCGUAACAAACCCAGAAGGCCGAGAGCAGCCUGGCUCGGAUCACAGCGGCUCAGCCUGCGCCAGCCAGUGUUGAGUAAUGCUGUUAGUAAAUACCAGGCCAAUUACUACUAACGAGGGCCUAACUGCAACCAGGUGAACAUUUAUUAAAUUUGUCACAGAAAGGUAGAGUGGAGAUAGCUAAUGAAGAGCAGCCGCAGCGCCGGGCCAGACAGCCGGGCUCUGGAGGGAGUGCGUGAUUCACUUUGCAGUGCCACCAAGUUCUCCCGUCUUCCACGUUUUAUACUCAUUUAAACAGAAAGCAAUAAGUCAACAGGGGAAUAUGUCCAUUUCAUUUGCCGGUCCGUGCAGUAAUUCCUAAUAAAAAAUAAAAAAAGCUAGAAGAUUCUCAGGAACCGUGCAGUUAAUGACUCUCGUUUUGAAAUGAAUUCAAAGACUUUACACGAUUCAAAGACACAACAGUGUUCAGCUGAAGUUCCCUCAGAAUAAUUAUAUGUUUGGUUGCUUCACACAGUGAGACAAUCAUGUAAGUGACGGGGGAAACUGAAGCAGUGACAUAACUACACAAAGUCUGUCCAGAAGAUGCAUUUUUGAGGUACUUCAACAGUACUUGAGUAAAACUCCGUAAGCAGCAGGUGGCAAAAAACUGCAGUUUAGCUGUCGUUGUUGCAGACACACCCGGAGGAGACCCGUACUUUACUGAGUGCACAUUACUACUUAUGAGUGUUGUUCAUAUUGUGCAUGGUGCGUGCUAACAUUCACUGGCAUUGUUUAUUAAGCUGCAUGAAACAAGAUUAUUUACAUUUACUUAAAGGUUAAAUUCCUGUGAAAAAACGUGACUUGAGUGAUAGCUUUUAAAGUGUCAACUUCUUAAAAUGCAUUAAAGAAUAUUGAAUCCAUUGCACACAGAAUAUAUGUAUUUUAGAGAUUUCUUUGAUAAACAGGAAAGACUUUGUUCGUUAACUUAAGUACUCUGGUACAAGAUUAGACACCAAAUCAGGACACAUUGAAGACAACGGCCGGUCCACCACUGAACGUGACCCAGAGGAGGCUGAGUUCAUUUCAAUAGACUCACAUUCUGAAACGAGGCCGACCUCCAGCCACACAUUCACGGUCCCUUUAUUUCUUUUGUCGCUCCAUUCUUUUCUUCCUCCUCCCUCCAUCAUGUCAUUCAUUCCUACUUUCAUCCUCCACAUCCCCACACACACUUAUUAACCCCCCCCCCUCUCCUUUUACAGUCUCUUCUUAUCCUGCUAACUGAUGGUUCAGUGCAGCGGCGCCCUCGGGCUCAGUUCUCUGUCCCUUUUGAUUUCCAUCCACGGACCAGAGGAAGCAGGGCACAUAGCCAGCGUAUUCCAUACACACACACACACACACACACACACACACCAAUGUACUGCAGACCAUCACAGUCUGAGUCCAUGCAAACACCUGGACAAUGGAUGCUCCGCCUUGUGGACAUUCACUGGUCACGCUCACCACUGACAUUACCUCACCAACAUUUUAUGUCAGUGUGUGUGUGUGUGUGUGUGUGUGUGUGUAUACUGUAUGUAUGUGCACGUACGUACGGCGCUUGUAUCAAAAGGUUAAAUUCUUCAGGAAUAAAUGAAAACAGUCCAACAGCUAAUUUUCCAGCCAUGUGUUGUUGUAAUUACAGGCCUGCAGUGCCUGCAUGCUCUGCACAUAAACAAACACGUGCGUGUGAUCUUUGCCAGUACACGACUUGAAAGAGAGGAGUACAUAUUUAAUGUAUUUGAAUCAAAAUAUUACAUAAUCUUGAAUGCAAAUAUGUCAGUUCACAGUCCACAAAGAAAAUCAAUACACAACUUUGUUAUCUGCUGGCCGGGAUACAAAUAAAUGCAAUUACAGUUAGCACUGAUCUUUGAUUGUCCUUAAAAUGGAUUCAUCCUCCCUCACAGGGGUUUAUGUAACAGCUCUGGGUGGUGACUGCAACAAGCAGCCUGCAUUAUGGGCUCACGGGUCUCUAUGUGAGAGGGAGCGAUAGGGGAUUCGUCGGCGUUGCAUUCAGCAGCCCUGGAGAACAGUUCCGUUGGUCCAUUUUAACGUCCCAGUCAUCAGCAUCGUGGCUUGACCCACAUGCGGAGCGAAGGGUUGCUCUAACAACGCCAUCUCUUGGGUAACUUGUGUAUUUUAAACUCAAGCGAAGUGACAACACCUGAUAGCGUUGAUGGCGAUGGCUCAUUAACAUGCAUCGUCAUUACGGUCUUGAGAGUGUGUCUGUGUGUGUGUGUGUGUGUGUGUGUGUGUGUGUGUGUGUCGUCAGGAGGUCGUUACAGUGCUGCUCCGUUUGUCAGCUGGGCUUCAUUCACAAAACGUGGCUCUGCCGGCAGCGUUUCCUCUGCUUUCUAUUUGGAGAAAAAACAACAAAAAAAAUGACCUGCUAAUUUUGUUUUGAAGGUAUCUGUUUGUUUUCAGACCUGUCUUCUCUCUCUCUCUCUCUCUCUCUCUCUCUCUCUGCCUCUCUCUCCCCCCUGCCAUUUGGCAAAAAUGAAUCCAAGCGGAGAGGCAGACAUUCGGGGAUAGAUUGGGUUACACUACUAGCCAGAGACAAAAGUGGUCUAUAUGGGAGGGUCGGCCAUGACAGUUGGCAGUUGGCUCGGUUUGGGGCGAACCUGAUACCAUAAUUUAGAUCUGCCAUAAACACACAGAAAUGAGACACAGACCUACCCUCCCUCUGAAACACAAGCAUGGGAAAACCGGACAUCUUGGCUGCAAAAUCUCUGCCACGACCGUAACACAAAAUCCAUGCUUUUAUGAUUAGAUGUAACGUGUUCAUCAUUGCUUACGUACACAAACUGAUGGAAAGUAUUUGCGCGGCCUUGCCCUCGCUAGCUGCACGUGUGCGGAGCCGCAUGGGAACAGGUAUUCGAUUCUGCUCAGUAGACGGUUUGUUAAUGACUCGGUGUUUAGACGCUCAGAUGGUGCCGUCUCCGUCUGGGUUGCCUGUUCGGACUGGCGUACGCCUCCAUCUGGAGACCGACCCAUUGUCAUAAUCAUUGUUUUCCACGGUUUGGGUGCGCGGCAGCGACUGCGUGCGUGCUUCUCGUUCGUCACCGGGUGUGUGCGCGCACGCGGACGUCUGCUGAUUAGCUCUGGCACCUCCGACCGAGCGAGAGGAGGGUUGUGGAAGAUUAGGUCAGCGGGUUGAUCCUGCGUUUCUAGUACAAUUCAGCCAACGGUCGGUACACACA